rnacentral:rRNA from 1 species
AACGAACGCUGGCGGCAUGCCUAACACAUGCAAGUCGAACGAGACCUUCGGGUCUAGGGGCGCACGGGUGCGUAACGCGUGGGAACCUGCCCUUAGGUUCGGAAUAACUCCCCGAAAGGGGUGCUAAUACCGGAUAAUGUCUUCGGACCAAAGAUUUAUGGCCUUUGGAUGGGCCCGCGUUGGAUUAGCUAGUUGGUAGGGUAAAAGCCUACCAAGGCGACGAUCCAUAGCUGGUCGGAGAGGAUGAUCAGCCACACUGGGACUGAGACACGGCCCAGACUCCUACGGGAGGCAGCAGUGGGGAAUAUUGGACAAGGGGCGAAAGCCUGAUCCAGCAAUGCCGCGUGAGUGAUGAAGGCCUUAGGGUUGUAAAGCUCUUUUACCCGGGAUGAUAAUGACAGUACCGGGAGAAUAAGCUCCGGCUAACUCCGUG